AUUGGCAGGCAGAUUCUCAACCACUGCACCACCAGGGAAGACCCAGAACUGCUUUAAUUGAGGCAACAAGAGAAGGCUUAUUGGAGAAAGAGUAUUAGAGUUGAGACCCAAAGAUGAGGAGGAAGCUAUCUGAAGCUCUGGGAUAAACAAGCAGAAGGGACAGCAAGAGCGAAGACCCUAAGAUGAGAAUACGUGCAGUGUUUAGAAAGAAUGGCAGCUUCUGUCUCUCUGUGAUGUGAAUUUCCUCACUAGAAAUGGUGGUAAAGCAAUUUCCUUUCAUUUAUGCCUAAAGAAACCAAAGAGGAGAUAACUGUGUAACUGAAUCCACUUAAUUUGCCUGAUGUGUUUGCUAAGGUCAAGGCUGUACUGUUGAUUAGCAAGAAUUCAGCUGAAAUUAUUUGAAUCUUACUGAAGCCCCAUGUAAUAGACCAAAUGAUUUCACAAUUCUCUUCCUUUGGUAAAAUGUGUUCUUCAGAGAUUAGAAGUCCAGUAUUCAAACUCUCUUUGGUUCCUUUAUCGGAAUUCUCUGACAGACGAGACACACAUUUGGAGCAGCAGGAGGGCAGUGGGAUUUAUUUAGUGGAAAGAGUCAAGAAAUUUGGAUUCUAAAUUCCAGCUUUAACAGUGUCCAGCUAUGUCCUUUGGGUAAGUCUCUUGACCUCUCUAGGCUUCAGUUUACUCAUCUGUAAGGGGAGGUUGGACCAGGUUAUCCCAGGGGUGGGAGAGGGUGGGGCUCUUCCAACUCAAGCUAUCUGUGCUUCAUACAAGGCCCCAGGAGCUGUCCUCUGGCCCUCUUGGGAGCUGCUCAGAGUUAAUUAACACACUCAGCUCUUGGGCAGGCCAAGGCUCUGAGUGCAGUGUUGUUUGUAAGACCAAUAUUCAUGAGAGUACAGUGGAAUAUACCUUCACUUAAACUCUUGACCACUGACAUGGGGCCCAAUUUCAGAGUAUGGACUUACAAAGGCUUUACUCUCUACACCUUUCCCCCCUUGAGAAUCUGCUCUGUCCCACUGGUUUUUCACACCUACCUUCUAUAGGGCCCUCUGAGAUUGGGAAGGAAAACCAGGCUCUGCAGCCCAAAGACCAGGGCUUUUUGAAUAAGAAGAUUGUUCACAGCUGUGUGUUUACCAGCUUAACCAGCUCAGCUUCUUCCAGUUUUUCAUGUAAUUAUUUUGGCUGUAUGUGCUGAGGAAUACUGCAGCCUGACUCUUAAAUUCACAUGAAUAUUGCCUUACAUGGAAAUCCUAAACAUGUUUUUAUUCCAUCCUUUAAGAUUCUACUGAGCAGAGUUCGAAGCAUCUUUUUCUCACUCUGUACAGAAGUGAUAAGGUCCUUUGCCCAGGCGAUGGGAAGACCAACUCAUCCUGGUUGGCCCCGGACUAUCCUGGUUUGAAAACGGAAAGUCCUGCCUCCUGGAAACCCUCUCAGUCUUCAGCAAACCGGGCAGUUGGCACCGUAUAGUGGUGCAGUGGGGCUGCUUGGAGUCAAAGAAAGAACUUGGAGGAGUAAAGAAGCAAAUUGGAGAUGAAGCGUUAAUUCUGAUAAAAAGAAACGAAGUUCUGGGAAGGAACCAGGUGGCCAGGCGCUGCCAUCAAGGAAGCUGUGAGCCCCACGGCUCUCCUCUCCUGAGGACAAAGCUGUGUAACCUUGUCCUGAGGAGCCAGUGUCUCUGGGGGCCUCUGCCUCACUGCCCGGCUGGGAAACGACCUACCUUUAGGCUUUCUGGGAAUAUUCACUCUAUUUUUCUAGAACAAGGAAUAGCAACAUAACACAUUGUAUCAGGAAAAUCAGUAUGAAUUCCUACCCUAAAAAACAUCUUCUUUGCCUCUGUCACAGAACAGGCCCCAAGCAGCAAUGGCCAAGGGCCUAGCACUUCUCCCCUCUACAACGCACCAGCGAGAAGCUUGGAUUGUCAUUUCUAAUACUAUUCUUUUAUGAAUGCUCAAAGCAAUCAGAAUUUCUUGGAAGUUAGUUGAUUCCAGUUUUGGGACAGGAAAAACAGUCAGGCUUGAAACAUCUCAUUGCUGUGCUCUAAAAACAAGGAUCUUUCAAGACUAUCAGAGCAAUGCUUGAGGAAUUUCUAUUAGCCUAGAUGUGCAGAUGUGAACAUCAACUAAUAAAACCAGUUAUGGCAAAUUGGUACAGGGUGAGUGUGUGAAAGGCUAUGAGUUCAUAAUAAUACUCCAAAAUAAUACAUGCAUAAAAAUAUAGUUAUAAAAGAAAGGUGAAUAGAAGAGUAUAUUACAAUAUGUAGGUAUUAUUUUUAAAAAUAUUAAAUACAUGUCUGUUUUAAAGUAUUGACUUGUAUUUGUUCCUCUCUGCCCAAGCAGGAGAGAAUAAACACAGGGACCUGGGGGUCAGCAAGGUGUCCCUGAAAAAGUAGAACCUGUUCCAAGAACAGAAAGGACUCCUCAGCCUCUGUGAUCACGUUUAAUGAUGAGGUAGGAAGGGGUUAGUGAACAGGAGGGCUCCAGGAUGUGUUCCACACUGAUGAAUUAUCCAAUAUCCUAGAGAGGGGAGGUAAUCUUUCAUUUUUUCAGAGAUGGAAUGUCAAGAUGCGCCCACCAAUGAGAAUAAACUACUAAUAAAGAAGACAGUCAUUUUUAAUAAAGCUAACAGACAAGGGAGAUAUAUCAAAGUCAUAGAGGGACCCACUAAUAUAUCCAGUCGUGUAAAUUUAAUGACCACCUUAUUCCUGAGAAAAAAGUCACACAAAAAUGAAAAUCUAUCUGAAAGUGAGGGACAUAGCAGUGCCCUGCUGUGAUAAGAGGAGUAUGUUAGUUAUCUACAGGCACACCUCAUUUUAUUGCACUUUGCAAAUGAUGCAUUUUUUAAUGAAUAGAAAGUUUCUGGCAACCGGCGUUGAGCAAGUCUAUGGGCGCCAUUUUUCCAACAGCAUUUGCUCACUUUGUGUCUCUGUGUCACAUUUUGGUAAUUCUUGUAAUAUUUGGAAGUUUUUCUUUCUUAUUAUAUUUGUC